GACGAACGCUGGCGGCGUGCCUAAUACAUGCGAGUCGAACGCUUCUUUCCUCCCGAGUGCCUGCACUCAAUUGGAAAGAGGAGUGGCGGACGGGUGAGUAACACGUGGGUAACCUACCCAUCAGAGGGGGAUAACACUUGGAAACAGGUGCUAAUACCGCAUAACAGUUUAUGCCGCAUGGCAUAAGAGUGAAAGGCGCUUUCGGGUGUCGCUGAUGGAUGGACCCGCGGUGCAUUAGCUAGUUGGUGAGGUAACGGCUCACCAAGGCCACGAUGCAUAGCCGACCUGAGAGGGUGAUCGGCCACACUGGGACUGAGACACGGCCCAGACUCCUACGGGAGGCAGCAGUAGGGAAUCUUCGGCAAUGGACGAAAGUCUGACCGAGCAACGCCGCGUGAGUGAAGAAGGUUUUCGGAUCGUAAAACUCUGUUGUUAGAGAAGAACAAGGACGUUAGUAACUGAACGUCCCCUGACGGUAUCUAACCAGAAAGCCACGGCUAACUACGUG
rnacentral:rRNA from 1 species